CCUACGGGAGGCUGCAGUGGGGAAUAUUGGACAAUGGGGGCAACCCUGAUCCAGCCAUGCCGCGUGUGUGAAGAAGGCCCUCGGGUUGUAAAGCACUUUCAGUGAGGAAGAACGCCUGGUGGUUAAUACCCAUCAGGAAAGACAUCACUCACAGAAGAAGCACCGGCUAACUCCGUGCCAGCAGCCGCGGUAAUACGGAGGGUGCGAGCGUUAAUCGGAAUUACUGGGCGUAAAGCGCGCGUAGGUGGCUUGAUAAGCCGGUUGUGAAAGCCCCGGGCUCAACCUGGGAACGGCAUCCGGAACUGUCAAGCUAGAGUGCAGGAGAGGAAGGUAGAAUUCCCGGUGUAGCGGUGAAAUGCGUAGAGAUCGGGAGGAAUACCAGUGGCGAAGGCGGCCUUCUGGACUGACACUGACACUGAGGUGCGAAAGCGUGGGUAGCAAACAGGAGUAGAUACCCUUGUAGUC
rnacentral:rRNA from 1 species